GGGGGUGCCUAUACAUGCAAGUCGAGCGGACAGAUGGGAGCUUGCUCCCUGAUGUUAGCGGCGGACGGGUGAGUAACACGUGGGUAACCUGCCUGUAAGACUGGGAUAACUCCGGGAAACCGGGGCUAAUACCGGAUGGUUGUUUGAACCGCAUGGUUCAGACAUAAAAGGUGGCUUCGGCUACCACUUACAGAUGGACCCGCGGCGCAUUAGCUAGUUGGUGAGGUAACGGCUCACCAAGGCGACGAUGCGUAGCCGACCUGAGAGGGUGAUCGGCCACACUGGGACUGAGACACGGCCCAGACUCCUACGGGAGGCAGCAGUAGGGAAUCUUCCGCAAUGGACGAAAGUCUGACGGAGCAACGCCGCGUGAGUGAUGAAGGUUUUCGGAUCGUAAAGCUCUGUUGUUAGGGAAGAACAAGUGCCGUUCAAAUAGGGCGGCACCUUGACGGUACCUAACCAGAAAGCCACGGCUAACUACGUGCCAGCAGCCGCGGUAAUACGUAGGUGGCAAGCGUUGUCCGGAAUUAUUGGGCGUAAAGGGCUCGCAGGCGGUUUCUUAAGUCUGAUGUGAAAGCCCCCGGCUCAACCGGGGAGGGUCAUUGGAAACUGGGGAACUUGAGUGCAGAAGAGGAGAGUGGAAUUCCACGUGUAGCGGUGAAAUGCGUAGAGAUGUGGAGGAACACCAGUGGCGAAGGCGACUCUCUGGUCUGUAACUGACGCUGAGGAGCGAAAGCGUGGGGAGCGAACAGGAUUAGAUACCCUGGUAGUCCACGCCGUAAACGAUGAGUGCUAAGUGUUAGGGGGUUUCCGCCCCUUAGUGCUGCAGCUAACGCAUUAAGCACUCCGCCUGGGGAGUACGGUCGCAAGACUGAAACUCAAAGGAAUUGACGGGGGCCCGCACAAGCGGUGGAGCAUGUGGUUUAAUUCGAAGCAACGCGAAGAACCUUACCAGGUCUUGACAUCCUCUGACAAUCCUAGAGAUAGGACGUCCCCUUCGGGGGCAGAAUGACAGGUGGUGCAUGGUUGUCGUCAGCUCGUGUCGUGAGAUGUUGGGUUAAGUCCCGCAACAAGCGCAACCCUUGAUCUUAGUUGCCAGCAUUCAGUUGGGCCCUCUAAAGGUGACUGCCGGUGACAAACCGGAGGAAAGGGGGGGAUGACGUCAAAUCAUCAUGCCCCUUUUGA
rnacentral:rRNA from 1 species